CAGUCGCCGCGGUAAUACGGAGGGUGCAAGCGUUAAUCGGAAUUACUGGGCGUAAAGCGCACGCAGGCGGUUUGUUAAGUCAGAUGUGAAAUCCCCGGGCUCAACCUGGGAACUGCAUUUGAAACUGGCAAGCUAGAGUCUCGUAGAGGGGGGUAGAAUUCCAGGUGUAGCGGUGAAAUGCGUAGAGAUCUGGAGGAAUACCGGUGGCGAAGGCGGCCCCCUGGACGAAGACUGACGCUCAGGUGCGAAAGCGUGGGGAGCAAACAGGAUUAGAUACCCGCGUAGUCCCUGUCUCUUAUAA
rnacentral:rRNA from 1 species